UUCCAUCGAAAUACUGCCCUCCCGAAUCACAGAGGAAGAUCUGAUCCUGGCUGACCAUGCCGCAGGACUCCGGCUUCGGUCGAUAGUGAAUAAUGGCAGCGUUAGGGCCAGCUGAUAGGAUCGUCGGAAAGGAGAGUGAAAAGAAUCC
rnacentral:rRNA from 14 species